UUUGGGACAAGAAGACCCUAGGAAUUUUAAAAUAAUUAAUUUCUUGCGAGAAAUUAAUUAUUUUUAGUUGGGGCAACUAGAAAAUAUUAUAAACUUUUUUUAAUACAAAAUGAUCCAUUAUUAAUGAUAAUUUGGAAAAAAUACUCUAGGGAUAACAGCGUAAUAAUUUUUGACAGAACAUAUAGACAAAAUAGUUUGCGACCUCGAUGUUGGAUUAGGAUACUUUUUUAAUGAAGACGUUAAAAAAAGAAGUUUGUUCAACUUUUAAAGUCCUACUUGAUCUGAGUUCAGACCG
rnacentral:rRNA from 1 species